UACGGGGGCAAGCGUUGUUCGGAAUUACUGGGCGUAAAGGGCUCGUAGGCGGCCAACUAAGUCGGAUGUGAAAUCCCCAGGCUCAACCUGGGAACUGCAUCCGAUACUGGAUGGCUUGAAUUCGGGAGAGGGAUGCAGAAUUCCAGGUGUAGCGGUGAAAUGCGUAGAUAUCUGGAGGAAUACCGGUGGCGAAGGCGGCAUCCUGGACCGAGACUGACGCUGAGGCGCGAAAAGCGUGGGGAGCAAACAGGG
rnacentral:rRNA from 1 species